UGGGUAACCUACCUAUAAGACUGGGAUAACUUCGGGAAACCGGAGCUAAUACCGGAUAAUAUUUCGAACCGCAUGGUUCGAUAGUGAAAGAUGGUUUUGCUAUCACUUAUAGAUGGACCCGCGCCGUAUUAGCUAGUUGGUAAGGUAACGGCUUACCAAGGCGACGAUACGUAGCCGACCUGAGAGGGUGAUCGGCCACACUGGAACUGAGACACGGUCCAGACUCCUACGGGAGGCAGCAGUAGGGAAUCUUCCGCAAUGGGCGAAAGCCUGACGGAGCAACGCCGCGUGAGUGAUGAAGGUCUUCGGAUCGUAAAACUCUGUUAUUAGGGAAGAACAUACGUGUAAGUAACUAUGCACGUCUUGACGGUACCUAAUCAGAAAGCCACGGCUAACUACGUGCCAGCAGCCGCGGUAAUACGUAGGUGGCAAGCGUUAUCCGGAAUUAUUGGGCGUAAAGCGCGCGUAGGCGGUUUUUUAAGUCUGAUGUGAAAGCCCACGGCUCAACCGUGGAGGGUCAUUGGAAACUGGAAAACUUGAGUGCAGAAGAGGAAAGUGGAAUUCCAUGUGUAGCGGUGAAAUGCGCAGAGAUAUGGAGGAACACCAGUGGCGAAGGCGACUUUCUGGUCUGUAACUGACGCUGAUGUGCGAAAGCGUGGGGAUCAAACAGGAUUAGAUACCCUGGUAGUCCACGCCGUAAACGAUGAGUGCUAAGUGUUAGGGGGUUUCCGCCCCUUAGUGCUGCAGCUAACGCAUUAAGCACUCCGCCUGGGGAAGUUACGACCGCAAGGUUGAAACUCAAAGGAAUUGACGGGGACCCGCACAAGCGGUGGAGCAUGUGGUUUAAUUUGAAGCAACGCGAAGAACCUUACCAAAUCUUGACAUCCUUUGACAACUCUAGAGAUAGAGCCUUCCCCUUCGGGGGACAAAGUGACAGGUGGUGCAUGGUUGUCGUCAGCUCGUGUCGUGAGAUGUUGGGUUAAGUCCCGCAACGAGCGCAACCCUUAAGUUUAGUUGCCAUCAUUAAGUUGGGCACUCUAAGUUGACUGCCGGUGACAAACCGGAGGAAGGUGGGGAUGACGUCAAAUCAUCAUGCCCCUUAUGAUUUGGGCUACACACGUGCUACAAUGGACAAUACAAAGGGCAGCGAAACCGCGAGGUCAAGCAAAUCCCAUAAAGUUGUUUUCAGUUCGGAUUGUAGUCUGCAACUCGACUACAUGAAGCUGGAAUCGCUAGUAAUCGUAGAUCAGCAUGCUACGGUGAAUACGUUCCCGGGUCUUGUACACACCGCCCGUCACACC
rnacentral:rRNA from 1 species